CCUUUGAUUUAUGAGGUUAAGUGCAUGGAUUCUUGAAACCGGAAAAUAUCUGUGUCACGUUAAGCGGGAUAUUUAUAAUUGUUCUGCUCUUAAAUAGUGCAAGGAUUAAAUUUGAAAUCGCAAUGACAAUUCCAAAUAGACACAACCUUCUUUAUCGCCUUGCAGACUAUAUAAGUUUGGAGGUAAUAUUAUGAUAUCAGCAUAACGUAAUAAUUAAUUUGCUGCCACUUAUUAAUUUUUAUGUGUCACAAAUGUUUGCAUCUCAUACUUUUACCUUAAAGAGGUUAAAGCAUCUACGGAAUGAAAGCUAUGUUUACGACAGCUAUUCGUGACUAAGUAAGGUGUCAAUAUUAUUGUCACAUAGUUAGCCUUUGUUCUAUACGAAGCACGUUUUUUUUUAUAAAUGAUGAUGAUAUUGGCAUGUGCGAAAUUUUAGUUUCCUUCAAAUGGUUUACUUAUCAUAUGGUUUCUUAACAUGCAUCAUGUGCAACGCACGUAUUGCAUCCUACUACAAAAAAAACAUAUCUACUGCAAACGGCUGCAAUUGUGUGGGGGCUUUACUGUUACUUGCUCUUCUAUAUUUAAUAAUCAAUUGGAAAUUACUAAAACAAUUGAAAAUGUAAAUAGGUGAAAAGUUUGGGAGGGAAAUCAAUAAAAGACUACUAUAAAACAACUAUUGCACUCCCACUCAAUUCACACUGCUUCCCAAAACACUCGGCGGACUCCCCAAUGUAUCGCCAGUUCCCAAAACCCUAGUUGUUAGUUCUCUCUCGAUAAUCGUUCCUGGUGGUGAUCAACGCCUCCCGAUCCGCUCACAAGCGUUCGAUUGCAGCCAAGGCGGCCAUCAAGAAGAUCCAAUGUCGCAUAUGCAAAAAGUGCUUCUCCAAGUCCCAAAUGGUUUCUCACUACUUGGACGUGCAUCCGCAGUACAAGCAUUUGUGUGCUGUUUGCUCUAACGGCUACAAAAGGGAGUCUGAGAGGAUCGUUCACGAGAAGGAGGAGCACGGCGAGGAGGAAGCUGAGGUUGUCAAACCCGAGGCGGCGAUCGGGGCUGAUGAGGAGCAGAACGCCGGAGAGCAUGAGAUUGAAGAGGAGGAUGCUUAGAUCAUGAGCUUAUGGUAAGUAGUAAUUAAAUAAUGAAUUAGAAUUAGAUAUAUAAUCUCAAUCUCAAGUUGCUUUCAGAAUAUCGAACAGCUCUGGUUCCGUUGGUUGCUAUUAAUGAAACCUAGUUGUUUGAUUUGUUGAUCUGGUUCCGUUGGUUGCUAUUAAUGAAACUUAGUUGUUUGAUAUGAUCUUGUAUCGAACAGAUCUGGUUCCGUUGGUUGCUAUUAAUGAAACUUAGUUGUUUGAUAUGAUCUUGUUUCUGUUUGAUCUUAAUUUUGUUGCUAUUUUUGGGUUUUUUCAGGUCAGAAAUUUUAUUACUUGUUUUGUGUUUGGAUCAUCUAAUUAAUAUCCUCUCAUCAUAUUUUCUAUUUUCGAUUAACAACAGUUGUUAGUUGAAUUGUUUGAUGUUAAUCUAAUCUCUAAAUGGUAAUUUUCUAGUUUCUUUUCUAUUGGUUAAUCAAAUUUAAUCGGUCGGACGAAUAUAGAGAAUCCCAUAACCUUUACAUCAAAUAGUUGAGACAAUCUAAGACGUAUGUUUUAUUAUUUUAAUAAAAUGAACAAUAGGAAAUUUUCUUUAGUGUUAUUCUAGACGGAUCAACUAGACGAAUUUUUUUUUUCAUCUGGUUAGCUUUAAACUAGACGGAAAAUUUCCGUCUAGAAUAUUCCAUCUAGUUUGCCAUUAUUCAUUCUAUUAAAAUAAUAAAACAUAAGUCUUAGAUUGGUUCAACUAUUUGAUGUAAAGGUUAUGAGAUUCGCUAUAUUCGUCCGACCGAUUAAAUUUGAUCAACCAAUAGAAAAGAAACUAGAAAAUUACCACUUAGAGAUUAUAUUAACAUCAAACAAUUCAGCAAACAACUGCCAUUAAUCAAAAAUAGAAAAUAUGAUGAGAGGAUAUUAAUUAGAUGAUCCAAAAACAAAACAAGUAAUAAAAUAUCUGACUGAAAAAGAAACCCAAAAAUAGCAACAAAAUUAAGAUCAAACAGAAACAAGAUCAUAUCAAACAAA